rnacentral:rRNA from 1 species
AGAGUUUGAUCAUGGCUCAGAAUCAACGCUGGCGGCGCGCUUAACACAUGCAAGUCGCACGAGAAAGUGGGAAACCAUGAGUACAGUGGCGUACGGGUGAGUAACACGUGGGUAAUCUACCUCUGAGUGGGGAAUAACCCUGGGAAACCGGGGCUAAUACCGCAUAAUCUCGAGAGAGGAAAGCAGCAAUGCGCUGAGAGAGGAGCCCGCGGCCGAUUAGCUAGUUGGUAGGGUAAGAGCCUACCAAGGCAGAGAUCGGUAGCCGGCCUGAGAGGGCACACGGCCACACUGGCACUGAAACACGGGCCAGACUCCUACGGGAGGCAGCAGUGGGGAAUCUUGCACAAUGGGGGAAACCCUGAUGCAGCGACGCCGCGUGAGCGAUGAAGCCCUUCGGGGUGUAAAGCUCUUUCGUCAGGGAAGAUCAUGACGGUACCUGGAGAAGCAGCUGCGGCUAACUACGUGCCAGCAGCCGCGGUAAUACGUAGGCAGCGAGCGUUGUUCGGAGUUACUGGGCGUAAAGGGUGUGUAGGCGGUUCUUUAAGUUUGGUGUGAAAUCUCCCGGCUCAACCGGGAGGGUGCGCCGAAUACUGAGGGACUUGGAGUGCGGGAGAGGAAAGUGGAAUUCCUGGUGUAGCGGUGAAAUGCGUAGAUAUCAGGAGGAACACCGGUGGUGUAGACGGCUUUCUGGACCGUAACUGACGCUGAGACACGAAAGCGUGGGUAGCAAACAGGAUUAGAUACCCUGGUAGUCCACGCCCUAAACGAUGCAUAUUUGGUGUGGGUCAUUCAGUUGAUCCGUGCCGGAGCUAACGCGUUAAAUAUGCCGCCUGGGGAGUACAGUCGCAAGGCUGAAACUCAAAGGAAUUGACGGGGGCCCGCACAAGCGGUGGGAGCAUGUGGUUCAAUUCGACGCAACGCGAAGAACCUUACCUGGGCUCGAACGGCUGGUCAACGA